rnacentral:misc_RNA from 1 species
UUAGCCAAAAAGAUAUAAAUGAAGGAAAAAUUUCGAAAGCUGCCUUUGUUUUCUAGAAAUUGAAAGAAUUUCGGGCGUAUACAAAUAUCCAUCAUUAAUAAUGGAAAGAAGCACUCAGAAAACCUCUUUUUUUUUUCGCAAUCUUUCAAGGAAUCAUUAUUCCUUCAAACAAUUAUUCCUUCAAACAAACAGAGCCUAAGCCGAAAACAAGUAUUAUUACUCAAUAAUAACAAACAAUUUUACGCACCCAGAAGAACCCAGUAUUUAAAACAACAAAUGUCUCCAAUAUGGAGCAUAACACAAGCAGUAAGCCUCCUUAAAAUUAGCUUCUU